UUGCCUACGGGGGGCAGCAGUGGGGAAUAUUGGGCAAUGGGCGCAAGCCUGACCCAGCAACGCCGCGUGAAGGAAGAAGGCUUUCGGGUUGUAAACUUCUUUUAUUGAGGACGAAACAAAUGACGGUACUCAAUGAAUAAGCCACGGCUAACUACGUGCCAGCAGCCGCGGUAAUACGUAGGUGGCAAGCGUUAUCCGGAAUCACUGGGCGUAAAGGGCGCGUAGGCGGUUUAAUAAGUCAGUGGUGAAAACUGAGGGCUCAACCCUCAGCCUGCCACUGAUACUGUUAGACUUGAGUAUGGAAG
rnacentral:rRNA from 1 species